AGGUGAACAGGCGGCCGCGUGCCUAUGGCAUGAGGAAAGUCCGAGCACCGCAGGGCAGGGUGCCGGUUAACGGCCGGUGGAGGCGACUCCAAGGAGAGUGCAACAGAGAGAUACCGCCGGAUUUCUCCGGUAAGGAUGGAAAGGCGAGGUAAGAGCUCACCCGCGACCUGGCGACUCGUCGUGAUGUAAACCCCACCUGGUGCAAGAUGCAAUGGGACAGAUCAGCGGCCCGCUGUGUCCCGCAAUCGCUCGAACCUGCGCGGUAACGCCAGGUCUGGAUAGAUGACCGCCCAAUACAGAACUCGGCUUAUGGUCACGCUC
rnacentral:RNase_P_RNA from 1 species